rnacentral:lncRNA from 1 species
CUGAAAAUUGAGAAACGUGUCACGACAAGUUUGAACCCUUUAAUUUUGAAUUAUAUAGAAAUAUCAGAGUCAACAAAUAAGGUAUGUUGAUUUUUACAUUUAUUUUAUGCAUUUUGUGAUAAUAUGAAAGUAAAUUUAGCUAUUUCAAUGCCGUUAUUGUGAACUUGAGACAAUGAUAAAUAUUGCCAAUCUGAUAAUUGUUUAUUUUCGAAAUUACGAACUUUAUUCAUUACUUGUGUAAUUCCUAGAUGUUACAAUGACUGUUUACUAUAUUUUCACACCUAUGUUUAUAUUUUGUGAAUGUUUUGAACAUUGUUUUUUGGUACAAAAUCUUAUGAUGAUUGCAUUUUCUUUGUAGUCAAUCUCAUCUUACUGUUUAUACUUUGGAUCCAGUCACUUCACUGUAACUUGGAAUAUUUUGGAAUAAACUUGAGGUGUGAAUUGUGUUUAAAUUCAUUACGACUGAUAUUAGUGGGAAAUAUA